GUAUAUAAAUAUAUAUAUAUUUACUUGUACAUAUACAUAAAAAAGAAAAAAAUGUUAAUUAAAGAAUAGGAAUCUCUGUCGUUACUUUAAAAGCU
rnacentral:ribozyme from 12 species